UACGAAGGGGGCUAGCGUUGCUCGGAAUUACUGGGCGUAAAGGGCGCGUAGGCGGCACUGUUAGUCAGGCGUGAAAGUCCCGGGCUCAACCUGGGAACUGCGCUUGAUACGGCAGAGCUAGAGGAUGGAAGAGGCUCGCGGAAUUCCCAGUGUAGAGGUGAAAUUCGUAGAUAUUGGGAAGAACUCCGGUGGCGAAGGCGGCGAGCUGGUCCAUUACUGACGCUGAGGCGCGACAGCGUGGGGAGCAAACAGG
rnacentral:rRNA from 1 species